GAUGAAGAACGUAGCGAAAUGCGAUAAGUAAUGUGAAUUGCAGAAUUCAGUGAAUCAUCGAAUCUUUGAACGCACAUUGCGCCCGCCAGUAUUCUGGCGGGCAUGCCUGUUCGAGCGUCAUUUCAACCAUCAAGCCCUGCUUGCGUUGGGGUCCUGCGGCUGCCCGCAGGCCCUGAAAACCAGUGGCGGGCUCGCUAGUCACACCGAGCGCAGUAAUACAUCUCGCUUUGGGCGUGCGGCGGGUUCUUGCCGUUAAACACCCCCUUUUUACCAAGGUUGACCUCGGAUCAGGUAGGAAUACCCGCUACUUAAGCAUAUCAAUAAGCGGAGGA
rnacentral:misc_RNA from 1 species